rnacentral:antisense_RNA from 1 species
GUGCAUUUGACCGCUCCUCCCUCCGCGUUGGAGGCGGAAUAGUGGGUUUUGCUGCAACCGGUUUAUUUUCCUUCUGUUUUCACCCAUUCGGGCACAAUCUGGCGCCAUCGUCCUUCUUGUGAGGCCAAGCCUGAAAAUGCGAAGCAGAGAGGCAGGACCAAAAUUGAGGCGAAUCCGGGAACCUGCCAAUGGGUCUCCGGGUGCGGUCUCUGAAACUGGAGGAUAUCGGGAGGAAAGGCUCUCCGAUGCGGAGAUAAUGGGGAAGCUCUUGGCAUGGUUGGCUGUAGGUAUGUGAUACCGGAGGAGCAGGAGUCAAAUAGGAUACGCCGACUUUUAAUUCAAGGAACCCUUUUCUGAAACACUUUGCCACAAUGAAGGAAAUAAGAUUACAGCCGAAGAUACAUAUUAAGGAAUUGUACUCUCAGAGAUGUUGAGAAAAGAUACAUGGGUCUUGGAAGAUAAUUACUCAAAAUAUGCAGGGAAGGUAGUAUAUCUUUCUAUUUUAAAUGUAUUAAGUAUUCCUGGAACUAUAGCAGUGAGUUGGAAAUGG